rnacentral:tRNA from 1 species
GACCCAUUAGCUCAGUUGGCAGAGCACUUGACUUUUAAUCAAGGUGUCCGGAGUUCGACCCUCCGAUGGGUCACCA